rnacentral:rRNA from 1 species
GACGAACGCUGGCGGCGUGCUUAACACAUGCAAGUCGAACGGAAAGGCCCUGCUUUUGUGGGGUGCUCGAGUGGCGAACGGGUGAGUAACACGUGAGUAACCUGCCCUUGACUUUGGGAUAACUUCAGGAAACUGGGGCUAAUACCGGAUAGGAGCUCCCGCUGCAUGGUGGGGGUUGGAAAGUUUCGGCGGGCGGGGAUGGACUCGCGGCUUAUCAGCUUGUUGGUGGGGUAGUGGCUUACCAAGGCUUUGACGGGUCGCCGGCCUGAGAGGGUGACCGGCCACAUUAGGACUGAGAGACGGCGCAGAGGCCUACGGGAGACAGCAGUGGCGAAUAUUGCACAAUGGACGGAAGCCUGAGGAAGCGACGCCGCGUGCGGGAUGACGGCCUUCGGGUUGUGAACCGCUCUCGCCUGUGACGAAGCGUGUGUGACGGUAAUGGGUAAAGAAGCACCGGCUAACUACGUG